CCCCCAGUAGCGGCGAGCGAACGGGGAGGAGCCCAGAGCCUGAAUCAGUGUGUGUGUUAGUGGAAGCGUCUGGAAAAGCGCGCGAUACAGGGUGACAGCCCCGUACACAAAAAUGCACAUGCUGUGAGCUCGAUGAGUAGGGCGGGACACGUGGUAUCCUGUCUGAAUAUGGGGGGACCAUCCUCCAAGGCUAAAUACUCCUGACUGACCGAUAGUGAACCAGUACCGUGAGGGAAAGGCGAAAAGAACCCCGGCGAGGGGAGUGAAAAAGAACCUGAAACCGUGUACGUACAAGCAGUGGGAGCACGCUUAGGCGUGUGACUGCGUACCUUUUGUAUAAUGGGUCAGCGACUUAUAUUCUGUAGCAAGGUUAACCGAAUAGGGGAGCCGAAGGGAAACCGAGUCUUAACUGGGCGUUAAGUUGCAGGGUAUAGACCCGAAACCCGGUGAUCUAGCCAUGGGCAGGUUGAAGGUUGGGUAACACUAACUGGAGGACCGAACCGACUAAUGUUGAAAAAUUAGCGGAUGACUUGUGGCUGGGGGUGAAAGGCCAAUCAAACCGGGAGAUAGCUGGUUCUCCCCGAAAGCUAUUUAGGUAGCGCCUCGUGAAUUCAUCUCCGGGGGUAGAGCACUGUUUCGGCAAGGGGGUCAUCCCGACUUACCAACCCGAUGCAAACUGCGAAUACCGGAGAAUGUUAUCACGGGAGACACACGGCGGGUGCUAACGUCCGUCGUGAAGAGGGAAACAACCCAGACCGCCAGCUAAGGUCCCAAAGUCAUGGUUAAGUGGGAAACGAUGUGGGAAGGCCCAGACAGCCAGGAUGUUGGCUUAGAAGCAGCCAUCAUUUAAAGAAAGCGUAAUAGCUCACUGGUCGAGUCGGCCUGCGCGGAAGAUGUAACGGGGCUAAACCAUGCACCGAAGCUGCGGCAGCGACACUAUGUGUUGUUGGGUAGGGGAGCGUUCUGUAAGCCUGUGAAGGUGUGCUGUGAGGCAUGCUGGAGGUAUCAGAAGUGCGAAUGCUGACAUAAGUAACGAUAAAGCGGGUGAAAAGCCCGCUCGCCGGAAGACCAAGGGUUCCUGUCCAACGUUAAUCGGGGCAGGGUGAGUCGACCCCUAAGGCGAGGCCGAAAGGCGUAGUCGAUGGGAAACAGGUUAAUAUUCCUGUACUUGGUGUUACUGCGAAGGGGGGACGGAGAAGGCUAUGUUGGCCGGGCGACGGUUGUCCCGGUUUAAGCGUGUAGGCUGGUUUUCCAGGCAAAUCCGGAAAAUCAAGGCUGAGGCGUGAUGACGAGGCACUACGGUGCUGAAGCAACAAAUGCCCUGCUUCCAGGAAAAGCCUCUAAGCAUCAGGUAACAUCAAAUCGUACCCCAAACCGACACAGGUGGUCAGGUAGAGAAUACCAAGGCGCUUGAGAGAACUCGGGUGAAGGAACUAGGCAAAAUGGUGCCGUAACUUCGGGAGAAGG
rnacentral:rRNA from 1 species